GAUGAACGCUGGCGGCGUGCCUAAUACAUGCAAGUCGAGCGAACAGACGAGGAGCUUGCUCCUCUGACGUUAGCGGCGGACGGGUGAGUAACACGUGGAUAACCUACCUAUAAGACUGGGAUAACUUCGGGAAACCGGAGCUAAUACCGGAUAAUAUAUUGAACCGCAUGGUUCAAUAGUGAAAGACGGUUUUGCUGUCACUUAUAGAUGGAUCCGCGCCGCAUUAGCUAGUUGGUAAGGUAACGGCUUACCAAGGCAACGAUGCGUAGCCGACCUGAGAGGGUGACCGGCCACACUGAAACUGAGACACGGUCCAGACUCCUACGGGAGGCAGCAGUAGGGAAUCUUCCGCAAUGGGCGAAAGCCUGACGGAGCAACGCCGCGUGAGUGAUGAAGGUCUUCGGAUCGUAAAACUCUGUUAUUAGGGAAGAACAAAUGUGUAAGUAACUAUGCACGUCUUGACGGUACCUAAUCAGAAAGCCACGGCUAACUACGU
rnacentral:rRNA from 1 species